rnacentral:rRNA from 1 species
AACGAACGCUGGCGGCGCGCCUAAUACAUGCAAGUCGAGCGAGAAGGUGUAGCAAUACACUUGUAAAGCGGCGAACGGGUGAGGAAUGCAUGGGUAACCUACCCUCGAGUGGGGAAUAACUAGCCGAAAGGUUAGCUAAUACCGCAUACGUUUCCGGAACUUCGGUUUCGGAAGAAAGACAUACCGUGGGUAUUGCGCUCCUGGAUGGGCUCAUGUCCUAUCAGCUUGUUGGUGAGGUAACGGCUCACCAAGGCUUCGACGGGUAGCUGGUCUGAGAGGACGAUCAGCCACACUGGCACUGCGACACGGGCCAGACUCCUACGGGAGGCAGCAGUAAGGAAUAUUGCGCAAUGGACGAAAGUCUGACGCAGCGACGCCGCGUGGGGGAUGAAGGUCUUCGGAUCGUAAAGCUCUGUCGUAUGGGACUAACAAAUGAAGGUACCAUGCAAGAAAGGAUCGGCUAACUUCGUGCCAGCAGCCGCGGUAAU